GGAACGAACGCUGGCGGCAUGCCUAAUACAUGCAAGUCGAACGAGAUCUUCGGAUCUAGUGGCGCACGGGUGCGUAACGCGUGGGAAUCUACCCUUGGGUUCGGAAUAACAGUUGGAAACGACUGCUAAUACCGGAUGAUGACGAAAGUCCAAAGAUUUAUCGCCCAGGGAUGAGCCCGCGUAGGAUUAGCUAGUUGGUGAGGUAAGCUCACAGGCUACGAUCCUAGCUGGUCUGAGAGGAUGAUCAGCCACACUGGGACUGAGACACGGCCAGACUCCGUACGGGAGCAGCGAGGUAGGAAUAUGGACAAGUGGGGCAACCUGACUCAG
rnacentral:rRNA from 1 species